CUCCUGGUCGACUAACGAGCGAAUGUCUGCGUGACCUCUGUCAUGGAGCCAUUUCUCCACACUAUACUAUCAAAGUUUAAAGGGAUCAGUGAAUUUUAACUCUGGAGUCCUCUAUGCUAAGGAUGCUCAGCUUACAGAUGAUGAAAUGUUCAGUAAUGGUGAGUUUUUCACCUUCUCCUUCAUUGUUUUGCUCAUCUGAAUAAAAAAAAAAAAGGCAAGAUUAAAGAAAAAGCAAUAGUUUUAUUAUUUUUACCCUGUUAUGUCUGUUUCCUCAGUAUUUGCUGGAGCUGUGCUUACCCAAGGUUUGGGUAAAACAAGCUUUGGGUUCCUUCUGUCUCACUGGGAGUUGCCCAAUUCAGUUGCAUCUGGUGAAAUUCACCCUGAGACCUUAUAGAACCAGCUCCAACUACGUGAGAGCCAUUUGCAGUUCUCUCCAGACACCUGGAGAAUGGGUGACGUUUCUGAGGAUCCGGCGAGCGUGCUUCUGUCAAAACUCAGUUUGUGAAAUUUCUGGGGAAAACCCUUCUGUGUCCUGAAGGGUUCAAACUCUGGUGAGGAUCCAGUUAUCAGGUGCUCACCUGGAUGGUUCCAGCUGCCAAAGGUAACACUUGUACUCUUGCCCUGUAGUUUACAUCUAUUGUAUUUUUGUUAUUUUGCAGGAUUUUUUGUCUUUGCAAAAUAUUGUGCAUUUCACUCUUUGGAACCUCUCAGAUGGUUCUUUGGUGCAGCACCACCCCAUGGGACACUUGGCUGCUGUCCUGAAGGGGUUGGUCGCUAGAAUUGUAAAUCCUGGAGAGUUUGUAAGUCUUCUGUCCCCAGGGAGGUAUCAUGCUUCGUUUACUUUUGUUCUGUUGGUUAGGCGCUGCCUCUCGUUGCAAGUAUGAAUUUCAAACUGCCCUGUUCUUAUUUUAACUUUUUUCCUGGUUCUCUCCGUCCGGCAGGGAAAGACUCUCGUAUCCUUGUCCUCGAGCUCGGUGCUGUCCAAGAAGAUACAGAGACUAAAAAAAUCAUAUGAAGCAAAAUAUGACUGCAGGGAAAAGAAGCUGGAGAGAACAGAAGGGGCUGUUUCCAAAGUGACCUACAGACAUUGGAAUGAAAUCAUUAUUUACUGUGUAAAAGAAUCACUCUCCAAAGCAUCAGCCAAGG